AUGGCAACGAGAGCCUGUAGUCGGAUUGCGUCCGUGAAACAGGUGGCCAGGUGUCCGUUAACAAGCUGGAAACAGGUGGCCAGGUGUCCGUUAACAGGCUGGAAACAGGUGGCCAGGUGUCCGUUAACAGGCUGGAAACAGGUGUCCGUUAACAGAUUGGAAACAGGUGGCCAGGUGUCCGUUAACAGACUGGAAACAGGUGGCCAGGUGUCCGUUAACAGGCUGGAAACAGGUGGCCAGGUGUCCGUUAACAGUGACGAACAUGUGAUUGUUGGAGGACAGUUCCCCACAUCAAAAUAUAUUUUCCACCGACACAGGUGUCAUAAAUUCACAAAUAGGGAUUAA
rnacentral:lncRNA from 13 species